UUGUGGUUCUCACACUCCGUGUUCCACACUGAGGCGUUUCAUCAAAGCAACGGUCCUCCGUGGUGACCAGACUGACGAUGGCGCUGCUGCUGCUGACGAUGACAGCGAGAAGAGCAGGGGCUGGAGGUAGGAGGCUCAGUCCUAGUCACAGCAACAUGGACAACAGAAGAUGUCGGCGAUAAGAAUGUCACAAACAUCUUUGUUAAAAGUAAAACUUUCUUACUUCAUGAACCCCGACAAAAUUAGAAAACAUCACACAGAACUCGUUGACAGUUCGUCCAUUCGAAAGUUCGCAUGCGGCAAUUUAAACAUUCAAACUGGAUUCAAAUCUGAAUGCAACAAGGGUGGAAUAGAAAGAAACCGUUAUGCCAAUGUGCCAUUGUAUUACGAAAUCAUAUUAACAUCCUGUAAUUUGCAGACUAAACAAAUGACAAAACUAGUCAACCUUUAUUCUGUGCUAUUAUUCAAGACUGAGUUGGUCUGGAAGAACUUGCUAACCAAUGUACCCGCUUUACAGAGAACAGUAUAAAAAGUAUGAGACUGGAUAAAACAUUGUGUAUCAAUAGCCUGAAACUUCAUCGUCUCAGACACUCAACCGAGGAACCCUUGACGAUGAAAUAUCGAAGUACGCACAGAAAAUGAAGUACAGUCCACUCUCUGCCGGUUUUAUCUACACCCAAAAAUUUAUAUUUGGGAAAUAAUUGAGAGACUAAGAAGAGCGGCGGAAGAAGACAUGCCUGAUCAAAAGCGAAUUCGGAGAGAAAACUUCUCGAGGGUUGGCGGGAUGUGGAACACGCCGCGACACCUAGCGGGGAGAGUUUGGAGACGUGAAGUUAUUUACUGCCCGCCUUAUUGCCACCUUUGUACUCAUGCACUGCCUUUGAUCUCCAUAUAAACACGUCGCUCUUGUGCUGCUAGAAAUAUUGUCAGGCAAGAUGCGGGUGCCUGCGCCUGUAAAUUACUUCAACAUGCUGCAGGGUGCUGGACUCGAGCCACCCGAGUGAUGUCCCGACCCUUGGGUUCGACUCCAUGCAGGAACAGCAGCUACCCACUCAGCCACUCUCUGCCUCCAGUCUUAAAAAGAAGAAAAGAAAGAAAGAAAAAAAAAAAGGAGAAAAGUA